rnacentral:rRNA from 1 species
UACGUAGGGUGCGAGCGUUAAUCGGAAUUACUGGGCGUAAAGUGUGCGCAGGCGGCCGCGCAAGUCGAGUGUGAAAAUCCCCCGAGCUUAACUUGGGAAUUUGCGCUCGAAACUACGUGGCUGGAGUGUGGCAGAGGAAGGUGGAAUUCCACGUGUAGCGGUGAAAUGCGUAGAGAUGUGGAGGAACACCGAUGGCGAAGGCAGCCUUCUGGGCCAACACUGACGCUCAUGCACGAAAGCGUGGGGAGCAAACAGG